rnacentral:lncRNA from 1 species
GCAGAGAGCAUGCCAAGUAAAAAGCCUUUGCUUCAGGAUUAUGGAGACAGUUCUGAAAAGCCAGCAUAACUUAAUGAUCAAUCAGAAAAAUAUAGAGCAGUAACUACACAACUGAAGGAUGCAUAAAAAUUGUACAAAGCGUUAAUAGUGGAAUGGGGAGGUAGGAUGGGAUUUUACGAGCCAGUAUUAAGCUCUUGGAAAGUUUCAUUUGUUGCCCUCAAUCCACACAGCAGAAAGAAAGAGAAAGAGACAAACAUGGUCAAAGAAAAGUAUGUGGACAAAUGUGGGGAGUAGAAAAGGAAAUGAAGGUUAAGCAAGGCCAAUAUGAUUCAGAAUAAAAGGGAGGGAGGGAAGUAUAAGGAGCCAGCUGUAAUUACUGAAUGUUACAUUAAGAAGAGCUGAAAUUGAGAGGGGGAGGUCUUGAGUAUUUUACUAAGUGGAUUAAUGUCCUCUUCCUCGGGUGUCUGAAGUUGCAGAUUUUAAUUUAUUUGGUGCAGGGAUUUAUUACAGAAUUCUUAAUGGGUGGGGAGAUAAACAGGGACAAUUAUAAACUCUUAGGAAGUAGAAAAGAGGACCAUAUAAUACUUUCUAUAAAUUUAACUGUAAUAAACAGGGUUUCAAGCUAUGGACAAAGAUAGUCAAAAAAAGCAUUUGGUCCAUGAUAAUAGGACUUACAGGGAAAUAAGAGGUAUGUCCAAAAAACUUAAAGACCAAAACAAAGAAAAGCCCACAUAGAUGUGUGAAACCAAGGAUUUUGAAUGACUUGGGAGCUAGUUUUAUUGCCGCUCCCCUUUCUCCACCCAUUUAAAAAAAUAAAUCAUAACUCUGGCAUUUAAAAACCUCCUCAUGAACAUCAUUUAUUAGUAUAAACUUAAUCCUGUGCUAUUCUUUGGUGGGUGGUAAGAACAUGAACUAACAACAACUGGACUAAAACGACGGCAACAGGAUGAUCCACUCAAACACAGGAAAGCUAUAAGAAAAACUCCUAAUAUGCUCUUUCACCUUCCUUACUUUACAGAAGGAUAAAGCCAAAAAGGGGAGAGCAUGUGGCUAAACCACAGAAAGACUAGAUGCCUAAAAGAAAAAUUUUAAAGUUUUCCUAAAUAGGUAUUAGAAGGGGAAGGGGGAUUUAAACCUUGUGUGAUUUACAUCAUUUUGUUAAUCUGCUAAUCUGCUUCCCUGGAAGGUGAGAAAGAGUGCUGUCUGCCUUCUACAGUUGAAGAGACUAGGGCAGAAACUAAUUAUGUUCUUAUCCCUGAGUGUACCUGGCUGUCAUCUGGCUGGCAACUAGUCCACAAACUAUUGGUUCAGGCAUUUGCCUGUCAAUAAUGUUAGCCAUCAUUUAAAUUGUUAAAUAUGGAUCAGAAGAUCUUUAAGAAUUACUGAUAGGCAGCUAUUAAUAUUGGAUGUAAAUAGUAUUAUUUGGGGUGUGGGUAAAUCAUUUGACUGGAACCACAUAAAAAAAGGACUUGGAAAUUUUAUUUUUAAAAUGCUGUUCGGGAGAUGGCAUUGAUGAAAAAAA